AUUGAACGCUGGCGGCAUGCUUUACACAUGCAAGUCGAACGGUAACAGGCCGCCAGGUGCUGACGAGUGGCGAACGGGUGAGUAAUGCAUCGGAACGUGCCCAGUCGUGGGGGAUAACGCCUCGAAAGAGUAGCUAAUACCGCAUACGAUCUAUGGAUGAAAGCGGGGGACCGUAAGGCCUCGCUUGGUUUGAGCCGCCGAUGUCAGAUUAGGUAGUUGGUGGGGUAAAGGCGCACCAAGCCAACGAUCUGUAGCUGGUCUGAGAGGACGACCAGCCACACUGGGACUGAGACACGCCCAGACUCCUACGGGAGGCAGCAGUGGGGAAAUUUGGGCAAUUGGCGCAAGCCUGAUCCAGCAAUGCCGCGUGGAGGAAAAAGGCCUUCGGGUUUUAAAAUGCUUUUGUAAGGAACGAAACGGCUCUGGUUAAUACCCGGGGGUAAUGACGGUACCGGAAGAAUAAGCACCGGCUAACUACGUG
rnacentral:rRNA from 1 species